rnacentral:rRNA from 1 species
GUGAGGUAACGGCUCACCAAGGCAACGAUGCGUAGCCUACUCUGAGAGGGUGAUCGGCCACAUGGGACUGAGACACGGCCCAGAAUUCUACGGGAGGCAGCCGUAGGGAAUUUUCCACAAUGGACGAAAGCCUGAUCCGCACCGCCGGGUGAGCGAAGAGGCCUUUGGGUUGUAAAAGCACUGUUCUUAGGGAAGAACAGCUUCGAGAGUAAUACUUCGCACGAAGGACAUCCCUAACCGAAAAAGCACGGGCAAAUACGUGCCCGCCGGCGGGGUAAUUAGUAGGGGGCCAGGGUUUUCUGGAAUUAUUGGGGGUAAAGCGCGGGCUGGGCGUUUUGAUCAUCUGAUUGGAAAAGCCCCGGGUUCACCGUGGAGGGUGCAUCGAAAAUGGUCGACUUGAGUGCCGAAGAGGGGAGUGGAAUUUCACGUGUAACGGUGAAAUGGGUAGAGAAUUGGAGGAACACCAGUGGGGAAGGGGACCCUUUGGUAUGUACAUGACGGUGAGGCGGGAAAAGGUGGGGAGCAAACCGGAUUAGAUUCCCUGGUAGUUCCAGCCGUAAACGGUGAUUGAUAAGUGUUAGAGGGCUCCGCCCUUUAGUGGUGCAGUUAACGC